GGACGAACGCUGGCGGCGUGCUUAACACAUGCAAGUUGAACGGUAUGACAUGGAAGCUUGCUGAAGUGUCAUAUAGUAGCGGACGGGUGAGUAAUGCAUGAGAAGCUGCCAUUGGGAGGGGGACAACAGUUGGAAACGGCUGCUAAUACCCCGUAUGCCGGAAGGUGAAAGGGAGUAAUCCGCCCGAUGAGGUGCUCAUGUCCUAUCAGCUGGUUGGUGGGGUAACGGCCUACCAAGGCGACGACGGGUAGCCGGCCUGAGAGGUGAACGGCCACACUGGAACUGAGAUACGGUCCAGACUCCUACGGGAGGCAGCAGUGGGGAAUAUUGGGCAAUGGGGGCAACCCUGACCCCAGCGACGCCGCGUGGGGGAAGACGGCCUUCGGGUUGUAAACUUCUUUUGUACGGGAAGAAGGAAGUGACGGUACUGUACGAAUAAGUCCCGGCUAACUACGUGCCAGCAGCCGCGGUAAUACGUAGGGGACGAGCGUUGUCCGGAAUUACUGGGCGUAAAGGGCGCGCAGGCUGUGCUGCAAGUCAGCUGUUAAAUGUCUGGGCUUAACCCGGGCAUGCGGUUGAGACUGUGGUGCUGGAGUGCUGUAGAGGCAAGUGGAAUUCCCAGUGUAGCGGUGAAAUGCGUAGAUAUUGGGAAGAACACCGGUGGCGAAGGCGACUUGCUGGGCAGCAACUGACGCUGAGGCGCGAAAGCCAGGGGAGCAAACGGGAUUAGAUACCCCGGUAGUCCUGGCCGUAAACGAUGAAUGCUAGGUGUGGGUGUAGAGAUACAUUCGUGCCGGAGUUAACGCGAUAAGCAUUCCGCCUGGGGAGUACGGUCGCAAGAUUGAAACUCAAAGGAAUUGACGGGGGCCCGCACAAGCGGUGGAGCACGUGGUUUAAUUCGAUGCAAA
rnacentral:rRNA from 1 species